UUUUUACUAUAUAUAGUAUAUAUAGAAAUAUACUAUUUGGAAUUAAUCUAUAUUUUUAUUUUUUAUGCUUUGGUUACUGAUAACUUUUUUUUUUUUUUAAUAUAUACAUUGGUGUAAUUUAUUCACAUUUCCCCAGUAUUUUAUCAUCAACAAAAACAGGAUAAUAGCAUUUUUUCUGUCAAUUCUUCAUAGUUUGGGAGAUUUGAAAAUGUUAGCAAAGACAAAAAAAUAAUGCCAUGGAAAUAUGGUCCUAAGAAGAAUUGGAUUUAGUUAGAACAACAGUUGAUAUUGAUUUGACUUACCCACACAGGUUUCUAGAAAAGUAAAGAACCAACUGGAUGGUUUAGCAUAAGAAUAUCUUUUUUCUUUCUUGAUGUAGAUGCAGCUGGAUCUUCUAUCCAUGCAGAAGCAGUGUUUGCCUAUUAGUGCAGUAAGAGUGAAUGCUAUGUCAACAUAACAAAUCCUUAUCCUUCUCACCGAGGAUGUGCACCCAGUGAAGAACCAAGGUUUGCAUCAUGUGCCAGACAAAAGAUAUCUCAGAAGAAAGAACUGCAAAAACAUACACGUCCUAAAAAUCCUCCUCCAAACCCUGCCCGUCCACCUGCCAAAUCCGUGUAGGCUCCACUGAUGCUCCAAAUAUUCUAGAAAAAUCAGCAGAGCAGUCUCCAAAUGAGAUAAGAAGGAACAGACUGUACUUCCAGAUGAAGUCUCAGGGAGAAAAAGGAAUAAUUUUAUUGCUUGAAAGUAUUUAUAGUCAUUAAAAAAGCAGUAGGAUGCUGAAGAAAUCUGACUGAGUUUCUACUGCAAGAGGAGAAAGCAGCCAGAAGUGAUUCAGAAGUCCUUCCUCACCUCAUUAGGGCAUCAGUUUCCCGAUGCACAAACUCUGUAGCUAGACCCUCUGAAUCAGUUGUCACAACCAAUUUAUGCCCACAGUUUCAUUUUUAAUCCGAGGUCUCAGCAGCCAAGCAGUGCAACCUGACCCUAGCUCGCACAGAGUGGCUGUUAAGGAAUAAGUGCUGGUUUUGGUAAUUUGACGAGAAUCGCUAGAGGGGGUCAGAGUGGAUGCGGGACAAACUCCUUUGGGUUUGCAGAAGGAGACAAGGAGUGUGGUGACCAGGAAGCAGGGCUGUGGCCAUUGCCUACUGCUAUCUGGUAACGCUGUUUAUGCUGCCUGAUUAGUUGUGAAAUUUUGGGCAGUGACUUUUUGAAACUGUACUAAAUUUUGGUAUCUAAAACAUAGACUUGAGCUUUGAUGACUGGUGGAGGAAACAUCUAGGAAAAUUAGAUCAGAUUAAAAGUGCACACUCUAAAUGUCCAAGACACAGACGAAUCCUGCUUUUUGUAACUGUCACCUGUAGAGGAUCCAUCUUUGGCUAAAAAAAUAAAAAGCCCAUUCUAAUUAUGAAACA
rnacentral:lncRNA from 1 species